rnacentral:rRNA from 1 species
GGGGAAUUUUGGACAAUGGGCGCAAGCCUGAUCCAGCCAUGCCGCGUGAGUGAAGAAGGCCUUCGGGUUGUAAAGCACUUUCAGUCAGGAGGAAGGUGGUGUAGCCAAUAUCUGCACCAAUUGACGUUACUGACAGAAGAAGCACCGGCUAACUCCGUGCCAGCAGCCGCGGUAAUACGGAGGGUGCGAGCGUUAAUCGGAAUUACUGGGCGUAAAGCGUGCGCAGGCGGUUUCUUAAGUCUGAUGUGAAAGCCCCGGGCUCAACCUGGGAUGGUCAUUUCGAACUGGCAAGCUAGAGUCUCGUAGAGGGGGGUAGAAUUCCAGGUGUAGCGGUGAAAUGCGUAGAGAUCUGGAGGAAUACCGGUGGCGAAGGCGGCCCCCUGGACGAAGACUGACGCUCAGGCACGAAAGCGUGGGGAGCAAACA